rnacentral:rRNA from 1 species
CAGUAGCCGCGGUAAUACGUAGGUGGCAAGCGUUGUCCGGAAUUAUUGGGCGUAAAGGGCUCGCAGGCGGUUUCUUAAGUCUGAUGUGAAAGCCCCCGGCUCAACCGGGGAGGGUCAUUGGAAACUGGGAAACUUGAGUGCAGAAGAGGAGAGAGGAAUUCCACGUGUAGCGGUGAAAUGCGUAGAGAUGUGGAGGAACACCAGUGGCGAAGGCGACUCUCUGGUCUGUAACUGACGCUGAGGAGCGAAAGCGUGGGGAGCGAACAGGAUUAGAUACCCGCGUAGUCCCUGUCUCUUAUAC